rnacentral:tRNA from 1 species
GAUAGUGUGGCCGAGUGGUCUAUGGCGCUGGUAUUAGGCACCAGUCUCUUCGGAGGCAAGGGUUCGAAUCCCUUCACUGUCA